UUUGACCUCGGAUCAGGUAGGGUUACCCGCUGAACUUAAGCAUAUCAAUAAGCGGAGGAAAAGAAACCAACAGGGAUU
rnacentral:rRNA from 1 species